rnacentral:rRNA from 1 species
AUUGAACGCUGGCGGAAUGCUUUACACAUGCAAGUCGAACGGUAGAGGGGGCAACCCCUCGAGAGUGGCGAACGGGUGAGUAAUAUAUCGGAACGUGCCCAGUCGUGGGGGAUAACGUAGCGAAAGUUACGCUAAUACCGCAUACGAUCUAAGGAUGAAAGCGGGGGAUCGCAAGACCUCGCGCGAUUGGAGCGGCCGAUAUCAGAUUAGGUAGCUGGUGGGGUAAAGGCCCACCAAGCCAACGAUCUGUAGCUGGUCUGAGAGGACGACCAGCCACACUGGAACUGAGACACGGUACAGACUCCUACGGGAGGCAGCAGUGGGGAAUUUUGGACAAUGGGCGAAAGCCUGAUCCAGCCAUUCCGCGUGCAGGAUGAAGGCCCUCGGGUUGUAAACUGCUUUUGUACAGAACGAAAAGGUUUCUACUAAUACUAGGAGUUCAUGACGGUACUGUAAGAAUAAGCACCGGCUAACUACGUGCCAGCAGCCGCCGUAA